CUACGGGGGGCACCAGUGGGGAAUAUUGGACAAUGGGGGAAACCCUGAUCCAGCAAUGCCGCGUGUGUGAAGAAGGCCUGCGGGUUGUAAAGCACUUUCGGUUGGGAGGACUGCUUCUAGCACUAAUAUUGUUGGAAGUUGACGUUACCUUCAGAAGAAGCACCGGCUAACUCCGUGCCAGCAGCCGCGGUAAUACGGAGGGUGCAAGCGUUAAUCGGAAUUACUGGGCGUAAAGCGCGCGUAGGCGGCUAGAUCAGUCGGGUGUGAAAGCCCCGGGCUUAACCUGGGAACUGCAUCCGAUACUGGCUAGCUUGAGUACAGGAGAGGAGAGUGGAAUCCCACAUGUAGCGGUGAAAUGCGUAGAUAUGUGGAGGAACACCAAUGGCGAAGGCAGCUCUCUGGCCUGAUACUGACGCUGAGGUGCGAAAGCGUGGGGGGCAAACAGGAUUAGAUACCCUCGUAGUC
rnacentral:rRNA from 1 species